CUACGGGUGGCUCCAGUGGGGAAUAUUGCACAAUGGGGGAAACCCUGAUGCAGCAACGCCGCGUGGAGGAUGACGCAUUUCGGUGUGUAAACUCCUUUUAUAUAGGAAGAUAAUGACGGUACUAUAUGAAUAAGCACCGGCUAACUCCGUGCCAGCAGCCGCGGUAAAUACGGAGGGUGCAAGCGUUACUCGGAAUCACUGGGCGUAAAGCGCGCGCAGGCGGCCUUUUAAGUUGGAUGUGAAAGCCUAUGGCUUAACCAUAGAACUGCAUCCAAAACUAUCAGGCUAGGGGCUGGGAGGGGAAGGUGGAAUUAGUUGGGUAGGGGUAAAAUCCGUAGAGAUAACUAGGAAUACCAAAAGCGAAGGCGAUCUUCUGGAACAGUACUGACGCUGAGGCGCGAAAGCGUGGGGAGCAAACAGGAUUAGAUACCUUGUAGUC
rnacentral:rRNA from 1 species